UGGCUCAGAGGUUAAAGCGUCUGCCUGGAAUGCAGAAGACCUGGGUUUGAUCCCUG
rnacentral:tRNA from 1 species